rnacentral:rRNA from 1 species
UACGGGGGGGGCAAGCGUUGUUCGGAAUUACUGGGCGUAAAGGGCUCGUAGGCGGCCAACUAAGUCCUACGUGAAAUCCCUCGGCUUAACCGGGGAACUGCGUCUGAUACUGGAUGGCUUGAGGUUGGGAGAGGGAUGCGGAAUUCCAGGUGUAGCGGUGAAAUGCGUAGAUAUCUGGAGGAACACCGGUGGCGAAGGCGGCAUCCUGGACCAGUUCUGACGCUGAGGAGCGAAAGCCAGGGGAGCAAACGGG